rnacentral:rRNA from 1 species
CUACGGGAGGCAGCAGUGGGGAAUAUUGGACAAUGGGGGAAACCCUGAUCCAGCAAUGCCGCGUGUGUGAAGAAGGCCUGCGGGUUGUAAAGCACUUUCGGUUGGGAGGACUGCUUCUAGCACUAAUAUUGUUGGAAGUUGACGUUACCUUCAGAAGAAGCACCGGCUAACUCCGUGCCAGCAGCCGCGGUGAAUACGGAGGGUGCAAGCGUUAAUCGGAAUUACUGGGCGUAAAGCGCGCGUAGGCGGCUAGAUCAGUCGGGUGUGAAAGCCCCGGGCUUAACCUGGGAACUGCAUCCGAUACUGUCUAGCUUGAGUACAGGAGAGGAGAGUGGAAUUCCACAUGUAGCGGUGAAAUGCGUAGAUAUGUGGGGGAACACCAAUGGCGAAGGCAGCUCUCUGGCCUGAUACUGACGCUGGGGUGCGAAAGCGUGGGGAGCAAACAGGGUUAGAUACCCUAGUAGUC